AUAUUCUUUCUAAAACUCCUACUCUCUAGUCUCUCCUCUCCUACUCUCGCACCACUUUCCGGCAACAUUUUCCUGCGGUUCUUCGAUGGUUGUCUUUCUCCUGCUCUGUGGAGUUCCUUGGCAUGGUGAUUUCCCCCUGUGUUGUUGAUUUAAGCCGCAAGGGGCUUAUUCAACGUGAAGGCUUCUGUUUUGCCUUGUUUCUUUGUUUGUGGGGGUUAUUUUUCUUUGUGUCGUAGGUAAGAGGCCGGUGUGUUUGUGUUUGUCGCAUUUUUGGGUGUGUUUUUGUGUAGAUUUGUGUUUCCGAGUUGGUUUGGGGCUGAGCCUACAAAAACCAAAAAUAGUACAAGUUUUUCUUUGCUUUGUUUACUCGAUUUAUUUAAUAGAAUCUUUAGAUCCUUUCAUAUAUUUUAUAACAAGUGGUAUCAGAGCUUUUUGGUAUAUUUUUACUUUCGAAAUCAAGUUUGUCUUUUGUUUUUUUGAGGUUUUUCGGUUUUAAAUAUUUAGAUCUACAAAAGGAUCUAGUUGAAUCGAACUAUUUUAAAUGUUCUUUUAUUCUUUUCCUUGUAGAUCUAUCUAAUAUUGGUUGUAAAUCGUUAGAUCUAUCAAGGAUCUAGUUGAAUCGAACUGUUUUAAAGUGUUUUGAUUCUUUUCCUUGUAGAUCUGCUCAAAACCAACCGAAAUCUCACUCGAUCCGUGCUCUCUAGGCUUGGUCGAGUGCAAUUUGUGUUAAUCGUGACUUAAUCGCUACAAAUCUGUGUUGUUUGGUUAAGUUUGAGUCUAGAUUUAGUUAGUUUGUUACAAAAUCGUUUUAUUUUUGGUAAACGAAUUUUGUUUUCAAACUUUCUUUAAAUAAUAAGUGUAAAUCGGGUUAAGUUGCCUCUGUUUUUGUAAAGUUUUGUUAAAGAUCCUUGUGGAUCUAUAAUUGGGGAGUCAAAAUCUAAAAAAAAAAUUUAAAUCUUUAAGAGUUUGGUAAAUAUUUUUUGAAGAUCUUUAUAUUUUCAAACUAAAUCUUGUUUGAAAUCUUCAAAAUCUUUAAGCCUUAUUUGUUUGUGUUCGUUUUUGGGGUCGGUGGUGUGUAAUAUAUGAUCUGUUUCGGGGAUUCUAACAAUUUGUUAGAAGAGAAACAUAUUUGUGUUUGUUUUUCUGUUUUUUUGUGAAUUUUAGUUUUGGCUAACCCCUAUUUUCUACAAAAGAGAAUAGGUCUUGUGUUUGUGAGAUUCCUGCUGUCUUGUAGGAAUAUAAUUUUUUUGUUGCUGUGCUACGAGGGUAACCCCUAAACUCACCUUUUUUUUUUACUGCUUUGUGUUUAUUUUAAUUUCUGCAUUUAAUUUUUGCGCACAAAAAUAAAUUGUAAAGACUAUUGUGAAACCAAGGUUACUAAACUCCGAUCCACACUUUGUGAGUGAUUCUUGAGUACCUCGGUUGAAUAGUCACGAGUGAUUGUUUGAUUGUAUGCGACAAUCUGCGAUUGUUUGUUCUGUGUGAUUUACUUGCAAAAUAAUCUGUUUUUGUGUGAAAAUUAAAAUAAAUGAUUUUAUGGAAUUUUAAAACAGAACUGGUCUUUUUUGUUUUUAAAAUUAAAAUCUAUUUUUUUUAUUAAAAACAAAAAAAAAAAUGGCUGGUAGCUCUAGUUUUAAUAUACUGCCUUUUGAUGGAAAAAUAGAUUUUGCAAUUUGGAAACAAAAAAUGAGAAGCAUUUUAGUCACUCAAAGAAUAAUUAGAGCAAUUGAGCCGAAUCAUGUAGUUCAAGUUCCUCUAGAGAGGGGAGCUGAGUUAGAUGAAAUGGCUUAAUCUAUUAUAAUACUCAAUUUAGCAGAUCAUGUAAUUAGGAAAGUAGGUAAGCAAGAAUUUUCUUUGAAAUUAUGGAAUAAAUUGGAUGAACUAUACACUCAAACUUCACUUCCUAGUAGGUUAUAUUUGCUAGAAAAAAAUUUAGUUUUAAACUUGAUUUGUCAAAAUCAAUUGAUGAAAAUCUGGAAAGUUUUUCAAAAUUAAUACAAGAUAUAAAACUUACUGGUGAUAAAAAAUAUUGACGAUUAUAGUGCUAUAGUUUUGUUAAAUGCAAUUCCUAAUUCAUACAUGGAUGUGAAAUCUGCUAUUAAAUAUGAGUGUGAUUUUGUAACAUUAGAUGUAGUCAUUAAUGGGUUAAAAUCUAAAGAAUUAAAUUUACAAAUUCAUAAGUCCAAUAAGGGUAAAGUCAUGUAUACUAGAGGUACGUCUCCUUUUAGAUCAAAUAAAAAGGGUAAUUCUGAAAAUAAUAAUAAUAGUAAUAAAACCAAAAUAAUAGAAAUAAAUAUAGAUCUAAAAGUAGAGGAAACAAUAGAUCUAGAACUCCAAAUAAAGGGGGUAAAAGAUGUUAUAAUUGUGGUGAUCCUAACUAUUUUAUACGUGAGUGUCCUGAAAAGAAGAUUAAUAACAUUACAAACAGUAAUAAUAAUGGUAGCCAACACCAUGCUAUUGAGUUAGCCAAUAUGACAUUACUUGAUCGAAAUUGUGGUGAUGUGUUUACUGUUACUUUCAACUGCUUGAAUGUGAACAAUGUAUGUAUGAAUGAAUGGCUUAUUGAUUCUGGAUGCACUUACCAUAUGACUCAAUUAAAAUCGAUUUUUUGUGAAUACAAAACUUUAGAAAAUUGCACUGUUUCCAUGGUUGAUAAUAGUGUUUCUAAUGUGCUUGGAAUUGAUAGUGUAAAUUUAAAAUUUAACACAGGUUUUGUGCUAAAAUUAAACAAUGUGAGGCAUGUUCAUGGUUUAUCAAAUAAUCUGCUAUCUUGUGCUGCUUUAUCAGAUUUAGAAUAUUAAAGGGAAAAUGGGAAAAUGAUUGUAUGAAAAUUACUAAGGGAUCUUUAGUUGUGUUUAAAGCUGUAAAACAUAAUAUGUACGUUACUUGUGCUGAACCAAUUAAUAUGCCUGUAAACACAAUAAAUUUUGUUAAAGAGAAUAGUGAUUUGUGGCAUAAGAUAUUAAGACACUUAAGUAAUAAAGGAUUAGAAAUUUACAUAAAAAUGGAUCCUUAGGAAAUGUAAAAUUUAAUCCAGUGUCCUUUUGUGAUAAUUAUGUAUAUGGUAAACACCAUAGGGUUCAAUUUCUCCAUCCCCCUAGUGAAAAACGUGAAUUAUCUAAAUCUGUGUUGGAUUAUUUACAUGCUGAUGUGUGGGGCCCAGCUAGUGAGCCCACACAUGGUGGGUCUAGAUAUUUUUUAUCCAUUAUUGAUGAUUUUUCUAGAAAAAAUGGGUAUUUCUUAUGAAAAAUAAAUCUGAUGUGUUUGAUAUUUUCAAAAAUUGGAAAAUUAAAAUUGAAAAUCAAACUGGAAAGAAAAUUAAAUAUCUUAGAACUGAUAAUGGUUUAGAAUUUUGCAACUCUUGGUAUGAUGAUUUUUGUCAAGAAAAUGGUAUAAAUAGACAUAGUACUCUCCCCUAUACACCCCAGCAGAAUGGGGUGGCUGAGAGGAUGAACCGGACUCUCUUGGAGAGAGUUCGAAGCCUUUUGGCUUCAUCCGGUUUGUCUAAAAAAUUAUGGGGGGAAGAUGUUAUGACACCAGCUUAUAUAGUCAAUAGAUCACCCUCUAUUCGUUUGAAUGGUAUUUGUCCUAAAUUUAAGUGGAGUGGUAGAAAAAUUGAUUUUUCAAAUAUUCGGGUGUUUGGGUGUUCUACUUUUAUAUGUGUUAAUAAUGACAAAUUAAACCCUAGAGCUGAAAAAUAUGUUUUCUUAGGUUAUCUGGAAGGAGUUAAGGGUUAUAGAUUAUGGUUAAGGUCUAGACCUGAAUUUAAAACUGUUAUUAGUAGAGAUGUUAUUUUCAAUGAAAAUGUGAUGUCUUGUUUAAAUAUUGAAAAAUCUGUUUUGGAUAAAUUUGAAAUUGAUGUUGAAAAUUUAGACUCUAGUAAUACUCCAAAUGAGAUGGAGUAUAAUAUUGUUAGUAUAGGUGAGGUAGAAAAUAUAGAAAAUGAUGCUGAAAUUCGUGUAGAAUCUGCUGUGAGAGAGGAAACUAUUAUUGAAAUGAUAAUAGCAUUUUUGAAAAUCAAAAUGAAUCUGAUUUUGAUAAUAAUAGUCAAAAUGAAUCUGAUUUUGAUAAUAGUACUCAAAACGAGUUACAAAAUUACCAAUUGACUAAAGAUAGGGGUAGAAGAAUCCCUAGGUUGCCUACUAGGCUUGGUGAUUUUGAUUUGUCUUCUUUGGCUUUUAGUGUAUUUGAGAAUUUAGAUGGUAAUGAACCUAAGACAUUUAGGGAGUUCAUAAAUUCGAAAAAUAAAAAUCAGUGGUUAAAAGCAAUGAAAGAAGAAACGAAUUCAUUAUAUGAUAAUAAAACUUGGUGUUUGAUUCUUAAACCUCCUAAUUGUUCUCUUGUUGAUUGUAAAUGAAUUUAUAAAGUUAAACAAUAAGAUAAUGAAAUUAGGUUUAAAGGUAGAUUAGUAGCUAAGGGUUUUACCCAAAAUGAAGGAAUAGAUUAUAAUGAAAUUUUUGUCCAUGUUGACAAAUUUACCACUGUUAAAGUCAUGUUAGCUCUAGUUGCAUUUUAUGAUUGGGAACUAAAACAAUUGGAUAUUAAAACAGCUUUUUGCAUAGUGAAUUAAAUGAGAAGAUUUAUAUAAAACAACCUGAAGGUUUUGUUGAUAAAAACAAGAUGAAUCAUGUUUGUUUGUUAAAUAAAUUUGUAUAUGGUUUAAAACAGUCACCUAGACAAUGGGAUAUCAAAUUUGAUAAUUGUAUGAAAAAUUUUGAUUUUAUUAAAAGCAAAUUUGAUUAUUGUUUGUAUUUUAAGAAUGUUAAAAACCAAUCUAUUUUUCUUCUCAUUUUUGUUGAUGAUAUGUUGAUUAUUAGUCCAUGUUUAAAAUUUAUUGAUCACGUGACUAAGUGUUUGUGUGAUAAUUUUGACAUGAAACUGUUGGGUGAUGCCAAAGUGAUUUUAGGCAUGUGUAUCACUAGGGAUAGAAAUAAUUCUAGACUGUUUUUUAAUCAGUCUACUUAUAUUUCGAAAAUUCUUAAGAAGUUUUCUAUGAGUGAUGCUAAAUCUGUUUCUGUUCCUAUGGCUUCUAAUUUUGUGUUAAGUAGGGAUCAAUGUCUCAAAUCAGAAUCUGAUUUUGAAUAUAUGAAACAUGUGUCCUAUUCUAAUGUAAUAGGUUCCAUAAUGUACUUAAUGGUUAUCCCUAGGCCAGAUUUAGCUUAUGCUAUUAGUUGUUUAAGUAGGUAUAUGUCGAACCCUGGUUUAGAACAUUGGCAUGCCUUGAAAUGGAUUUUAGAUACUUAGUUGGUAUAAUAAAUGUUAGUCUUGUGUUUGAAAAACAUAUUGAAAAUGUUAAAUUAGAGGGUUUUGUGAAUUCAAAUUAUACAAAUGAUAGAGAUAGUAGGAAAAGUACAACUUCUUAUGUUUUUACUUUGUGUGGAAAUUGCAUAAGUUCAAAAUCUCAAUUGCAACACAUUGUAGCACUAUUCACUACAAAAUCUGAAUAUGUUGCAAUAACUGAAGCUUUAAAAGAAGCAUUAUGGUUAAAAGAAUUAAUAAGUGAAUUAGGUUAUUUACAUCAUGUUGUUACUGUUUUUUUGGAUAGUCAGUCAGGAAUCCAGUUAUGCAAAAACCCUGUAUUUCAUGAUAGAACCAAAAUAUAUUGACGUGCGUUUUCAUGAUAGAACCCUGGCCUGUGACCCGCCAUGGCCCGCGACCCGCUGCCAUACCCAUGCCCUGACCCACGACCCGUGUUUUUGACCCGCGUCCUUUUUAACCUACCUAUAUAAGGGACUGAGGCAGGGCGCUGUUCUCAUAAUCUCACUCUCAUAUAUUCUCUCUAAAACUCCUACUCUCUAGCCUCUCCUCUCUUCUCUCUCUUGCACCACUUUCCGGCGACGUUUUCCGGAGGUUCUUCGGCGGUUGUGUUCCUCCUGCUCUAUGGAGUUCCUUGGCAUGGUGAUUUCCCUAUGUGUUGUUGAUUUGAGCCGCAAGGGGCUCUCUCAACGUGAAGACUUCUGUUUUGCUUUGUUUCUUUGUUUGUGGGGGUUAUUUUUCUUUGUCUCGUAGGUAAGAGGCCGGUGUGUUUGUGUUCGUCGCGUUUUUUGGUGUGUUUUUGUGUAGAUUUGUGUUUUCAAGUUUGUUUGGGACUGAGCCUACAAAAACCAAAACUACUACAAGUUUUUCUUUGCUUUGUUUACUCGAUUUCUUUAAUAAAAUCUUUAGAUCUUUUCAUAUAAUUUAUAACAGAUGUGAUAUAAAUAUAUAUUAAUGUGAUGUUUUAAAUAUAAAAUUAAAUUUUAGUAUAAUAUAAUAAAUAAAAUAGGUGUUUGAUUUGAUGAUUUUAGAGUGAAAAAAAAUUAGAAUAGUAAAAUUAAAAUUAAAACCGCACAAAUAAAAACACUCGUAAUAAGCUAUUUUGCAAUGAAUUAUUGUCCGUGCUUCGAGAUGACAUACGUUAAUUGGAACACACUAUCAGCCGUAGAUCGUUGUGCGUAAAGAGAAUUUCUCAAACUUGUUUUUAUUUUUUUUGCCUUAAAACUUAUAUUUUUGUUGCAUUUUCAUAUGCAUUUCCUGUUAUUGUAAAUGUUGGGAAUUCGAUUUAAAAAUUUUAUCAGAUUAAUCAACACUUAAAAAUAAAUAAACUGAAAUUAAAUUAAAAAAAUAAAAUAAAGUGUAAUAUUAUUAUUAUUAUUUUAAAUUAUUUUCAAACUUGAAAAAAUGGGAAGGUGGUUUGGACCCACUAUUGUCGUUUUUAAUUAUUUUUUUGCUAGUAUUUUAUAGGCACAAUUGGCUUUAAAUCCCUAUUUUGUCUAAUUUAUUAAUAAUAAGUCCCCAUUACUAAAUUCUUAUUCUGCAGUCCCUACUUUUCCAUUUCACUCGUUCUUCACUCCCUAUCAUUUCUUUAUUUCUGAUUUAGCUCUCAAAUCCCUUUCACACGUUGGUUAUUCUUCGCGCGGAAUUGGGAGUAAAACAUGUUAGUCCAAAAUCAUUGGAUCAAAAAUCACCACCGUAGCCGCGUUGCCCAUAGGCCAACAAUCGCGAAGAACCAUUUUUUUUUCUUGUUUGAUAUUUUCGUGCCACUGCGAGCCCUUCUUCUCCGGCGAAGAGCGACGUCGGAAUUUUACAAAGAUCACUGGCCUAGAUUCCGACAAACACAAAGACCCAUCUAUCCCAAUUUGUUACGGCCAUUGGACAACAAUCCAUUUCUCUUCGAAGAAGACCCACCUUAUUGUUUUCGAAAGAAGCAUCGUGCUAAAGUGACUAUUCUUCAUCCAUUUACCAAAAACUCAGAACAAAUCAAGACGCUGAUAUCUUAAUUGCAGCUGCAGAAGUACUCAAUUUGGUCCGUGAUAGUUGGUUAAAGCCAGACACAAUUGUUGUAAUAUUUAAAUGUGUAAUUUUUUUUUUUUAUUUUGAAAGAAUGUCCAUCAAUCCUCUCAUUGUAAUUACUUUUAGCGUGCUAAACAUAAUAUAAUGUUGUAUAUAAAUAUACAACAAUAAGAGAAUUGUUACAUUGAAGCUCUUUUGUAAAUUUGAUGUAUUAUGGUA